GAAAUAAGCUGACCUAUCGCCAGAUUAGUUAUAAUUUGGAGGAAAGUCCGAACAACACAGAGCAUCAUGCUACCUAACGGGUAGGGGAGAAUUCGUUCUCUACAGAUAGUGCCACAGAAAAUUACCGCCAUAUUUCGGUGUGGUAAGGGUGAAAAGGUGGUGUAAGAGACCACCGGUAGACUUGCAAAACGAUACGCAUAGGUAAACCUCAUGAGUUGAAAGACCAAAUAAACCGACGCUAAAGGGUAGCUCGCUCAAGUCGGAGGGUAGGUUGAUAGAGGUUUUGAGCAAUCAAUUCCCUAGAUAAAUGAUAGGAUAGAACAGAAUUCGGCUUAUUAGCUUAUUUCAUUU
rnacentral:RNase_P_RNA from 2 species